rnacentral:lncRNA from 1 species
AGCCUGUUUCUGCCUAUCACCAUGAGUGAUUCCUCAAUACUCAGAUUUAUCAUCAAGAUCUCAAUUAUAAGCUCAAGUUUUGAUGACAACUUGGUGAUCUGCAGAAAGCCCCACCAUGUAAGGAAGGCCAAGACCACUCUGGAAUCAGUCAAGGGAUUGCAGUGACCAGACAUGCUACUGUAACUCUCAUGGUCAUGUGCUGGAAUUAGCAGAUAUUCAACAAUUUGGCCAUCUCGCUGACCUGUUGAUAUCAGAAGACCGCAACAGCUCUACAAAGCAAGUUGCAAAACAGAAUCCAUGAAACUGGCAGUGACUGGAAACCAAUUGGAAGACUUUGGUCUGUGAUGUAGAGGAGUGGGCAGAGGCAGAAGCAAAGACAACAAAAAACAGAAGUGAUAUGGAUGUCUUUGUCAUAUUGCAUGACUCUGCUGACCCAGCAACAAAGAGGAGGGUGUUCAACAUCAUCCUGCUGGUCAGGAUUCUUCAGGAGAAGCAGUGGAUUCUUGUGGCAGAGAUGUUCAACCACUAUAAAUACCUUUCAACUCAUCCUGGUUCUUUCAAAGAACUUUCUUGCUUGUUUGCUACUGAAAUGUACUGAUUCGACAUGUGCCCUUAACGAAGAGGGGUUAAAAGGUCUAUGGAUCAUCAUUCUCAAAAAGCAACAAAAUAACUGAGAAAUAAACAACAAUACGAUGGUGCAAUCUAGAGACCUGCAAGGUACCUGCAAGUUUUGGCUGGAGCAGAGAACAUAGAUUUUUUUUAAAUAAAGCUCCAGCUGAUGAGUAUGACAUUGACUGUGGAUGUUCUUUUACUGUAAUCCAGAAGAGGAUGACCUCAACCCUGAAUCUAAAGCAUGUAAUAAAAUCUGUAAAAAAUUAAAUAAAAUUGUCAUC